rnacentral:lncRNA from 13 species
GUCAGUUUUCUACCUCAUUAUCUGCAUCGAAACAAAUUUCAAAAUUUAACAUGUUUAAAUAUAACUGUCAAACACAUUAAAAAGUUCUUAAAUCAUAGGUGAAUAUUUUCUUCAUUUUAGGAUUGGACUGGAUUUUGAAAGCCUGCUGUGAAGAGUAAAUCCCAAGGACACAUUUGACUUCCUAGGAAUAUAAAAGCUUGGAUCAGUAAAAUAACACUGCGAACAAAGUCAAAAGACCAUCCCCAAAAUGAGGGGAAUAGGGCAAGUAAGUGGAGCAGUUCCACCCUGAGAAUCCCUGGAGUAGAUUUUAAAAUGGUGCAUUCUUCGUUUCAAACACAGAAGCCUUUCCUGGGUAACUUUGCAAGCCACAGUGCUUGGCUGGAAACGUGACAGGCCAAAUUGCAACCAGAAUUCUGCAAUUAUAAACAGAACCAUUUUUAUUUCGGAGAAAAAAAAAACGGCGACAGAGAAAGGAAACUAAAAGAAAAAGAGGAAAUGAAUCAGUUUCGAAGCAUGAGACCUCAAGCGCACAAACAAGCAGGGGAGUGGAGAGGAAAACAAUUUGAAACAAACUGCCCUUCAGAGAGGCUCCCGCCCCCAGUGAAUGACAGCAGAAAUUCGCACAGCCCUCCAUUGUUCUGCAUAGUGUCUUUCUUUAUACUAUUUGUCAAUCUGAAAAGAAAAACCUGUUUCCUUCUUCUUAUACUUUACAUCUUCUUUAUUGUUCAUAAAAUCAAUCUCUUGUUCUUUGUUUCUGUUUUGGAGACAAGGCCUCUCCCUGUGGCCCAGGCUGUGAUGCAUUGAUGCUGUUACAGUGCAGCCUUGGCCUCCUGGGCUCAAACAGUCCUCCUGCCUCAGCCUCCCAGGUAGCUGGGACAACAGGUGCAUGCCAUCAAGCCUGGCUAAUUUUUUUUUUUUUAAUUUUUGGUAGACAUGGGGUCUCACUAUGUUGCCCAACCUGGUCUCAAACUCUUGGGCUCAAGUAAUCCACUCACCUUGACCUCCCAAAGUGGUGGGAUUACAGAUAUGAGCCAACAUGCCCAGCCCAACCUUUUAAGAUAUGUUUAUUUACAAUUACUAUUUUUUCUCUUGAAAAGUAUUUAAUUACAUGCUUGGUUAAUUUUUCUCCUGGGCUUUAAAAAAAUGAAUUUGUAAGAGUUUGUCAUAUUUUCAAAUACAUUUAGAACAAGAUCCAGAAGAAGAAUGUGAAGGAUAUGGACCCUUUUAAAAUUGUAUCUGUUGCAAAUAUUUUGAAUUGUAUUUCAAACUGUAUAUGAUGGUUUGGAGAUAAAGCUAGAGGUUGUGCAAUAUCAGCUGUCAUUCAGAGGUAAACACGAGGUCUAGGUCUCGAGGGGGUGGUUCUGGGUAGAGAAAACUUUCCAGAGAGUUUAUGCUAAAUAGCAAGACAAAGGAAAUCCACAAAGAGCAAACAAGCAAGCACAAAGCAUGGCUCAUUCUCAUGUUAAUAGUCAUCUGCUGAUGGUGUCUUCGGGUGUAUGAGUCCACUGGGCUCAAGCCAAAAACAGCCUAGGGAAACGGAAGAGAAAAGGAGCUAAAAAGAAAGGAAGAGAGAGAACUCAGAGGUCUUCGGGUCUCUCCAAGCCCAUGAUACUUUAGAACAUGCUCUUGGGGCACACUUGGAGAUUGCUGUAGACGAGAGAGUGCAUUUUGUUUCUGCUUUGAUUUACCCUUGUGACGCAUGGAUGAGAACAGAGAAUUAAAUACACAAAGUACUGUGCAAUGUAAUAAAAAUGUGUUUUUUCUGUUAAGCCA